ACUCACCGUAGAGCCCAAUCAGGGUUUCCAAGAUUAAAACCCUCUCCGCUAAAAUCUUCAGCGCCUCGCGCAGCUGGUGCAAACCCUCCCCCUGCGGAGGAAGAGACGGGGUGGCCGUGAGGGUGUCCCGUCCCCCGGCGCCAGCCCUGCUCCGCACCCCGCGGGCGGCUGCAGGGGACGGCGGGUGGCAGUGCCACCCCCAUUGCGCCUAGGGGCGCAGACACCCCGGGGSGGGGCAGCUGCGACCGGCCGUGCCCUCAAAUUUUGGGGUGGGGGUCAAGCGCAGUGGGGACCCCCAUGCCAUCGUUGGGGUCCUGGGGAGGAGAUGCGGGUGCUGGGCACAGCGGGGACCCCCAUGCCAUCAUCGGGGUCCCGGGGACACGAUGCAGGUACCAGGCACAUUGGGGACCCCCAUGCCAUCGUCGGGGUCCCAGGGAUGUGAUGGGGGCACCAGGCACAGCGGGGACCCCCCAUGCCAUCGUCGGGGUCCCGGGGAUGUGAUGCAGGUACCAGGCACAGCGGGGACCCCCAUGCCAUCAUCAGAGUCCCAGGGGUGAGACACAGGUGACAGGGACAGCUGGGGACCCCCUUGCUAUCAUCAGGGUCCUGAGGGGUGACGUGCAGGCACCAGGCACAGUGGGGACCCCCAUGCCAUCUUCAGGGUCCCAGGGACAAGAUGCAGGUGCUGGGCACAGCCGGGGACCCCGUGCCAUUGUCGGGGUCCCAGGGAUGAGAUGCAGGUGCUGGACACAGCCGGGGACCCCCAUGCCAUCGCUGGGCUCCCAGGGGUGACGUGCAGGCACCAGGCACAGCGGGGACCCCCAUGCCAUCAUCAAGGUCCCAGGGGUGAGACACAGGCGAUGGGGACAGCUGGGGACCCACAUGCCAUCAUCAGGGUCCUGAGGGGUGACACGCAGGCACCAGGCACAGCCGGGGACCCCCAUGCCAUCACCGGGCUCCCAGGGGUGACACACAGGCACCAGGCACAGCCGGGGACCCCCAUGCCAUCGCCGAGGUCCCAGGGUGCUGGACACAGCCGGGGACCCCCAUGCCAUCGUCGGGGUCCCAGCACAGGCGCAGGCAGCACAUUCCCAUGCGGAGGCGACGUCACCCGCGGAGGGGCUGCGCUGUCCCCCAGCCGGGGUGGGCGCCAGCUGGCACGCGGUGCCCCGACACCCCCGUGCGCCGGGGGGGGGCUCGGUGGCCGAGGGUCCGCGCUCGGGGGCCACAUGCGGAGCCGGCGGGCACAGCCAGAGCGGCGAGGGCGCCCCGGGUUAGUAAGGAAGGAGGCGGCCGGUGGCAGGUCCCCCUGUCCCCUGGGGAAGGAGCCUGGC
rnacentral:lncRNA from 1 species